rnacentral:rRNA from 1 species
AUGCAAGUCGAACGAACUCUGGUAUUGAUUGGUGCUUGCAUCAUGAUUUACAUUUGAGUGAGUGGCGAACUGGUGAGUAACACGUGGGAAACCUGCCCAGAAGCGGGGGAUAACACCUGGAAACAGAUGCUAAUACCGCAUAACAACUUGGACCGCAUGGUCCGAGCUUGAAAGAUGGCUUCGGCUAUCACUUUUGGAUGGUCCCGCGGCGUAUUAGCUAGAUGGUGGGGUAACGGCUCACCAUGGCAAUGAUACGUAGCCGACCUGAGAGGGUAAUCGGCCACAUUGGGACUGAGACACGGCCCAAACUCCUACGGGAGGCAGCAGUAGGGAWUYUUCCACAAUGGACGAAAGUCUGAUGGAGCAACGCCGCGUGAGUGAAGAAGGGUUUCGGCUCGUAAAAYUCUGUUGUUAAAGAAGAACAWWUYUGAGAGUAACUGUUCAGGUAUUGACGGUAUUUAACCAGAAAGCCACGGCUAACUACGUGCCAGCAGCCGCGGUAAUACGUAGGUGGCAAGCGUUGUCCGGAUUUAUUGGGCGUAAAGCGAGCGCAGGCGGUUUUUUAAGUCUGAUGUGAAAGCCUUCGGCUCAACCGAAGAAGUGCAUCGGAAACUGGGAAACUUGAGUGCAGAAGAGGACAGUGGAACUCCAUGUGUAGCGGUGAAAUGCGUAGAUAUAUGGAAGAACACCAGUGGCGAAGGCGGCUGUCUGGUCUGUAACUGACGCUGAGGCUCGAAAGUAUGGGUAGCAAACAGGAUUAGAUACCCUGGUAGUCCAUACCGUAAACGAUGAAUGCUAAGUGUUGGAGGGUUUCCGCCCUUCAGUGCUGCAGCUAACGCAUUAAGCAUUCCGCCUGGGGAGUACGGCCGCAAGGCUGAAACUCAAAGGAAUUGACGGGGGCCCGCACAAGCGGUGGAGCAUGUGGUUUAAUUCGAAGCUACGCGAAGAACCUUACCAGGUCUUGACAUACUAUGCAAAUCUAAGAGAUUAGACGUUCCCUUCGGGGACAUGGAUACAGGUGGUGCAUGGUUGUCGUCAGCUCGUGUCGUGAGAUGUUGGGUUAAGUCCCGCAACGAGCGCAACCCUUAUUAUCAGUUGCCAGCAUUAAGUUGGGCACUCUGGUGAGACUGCCGGUGACAAACCGGAGGAAGGUGGGGAUGACGUCAAAUCAUCAUGCCCCUUAUGACCUGGGCUACACACGUGCUACAAUGGAUGGUACAACGAGUUGCGAACUCGCGAGAGUAAGCUAAUCUCUUAAAGCCAUUCUCAGUUCGGAUUGUAGGCUGCAACUCGCCUACAUGAAGUCGGAAUCGCUAGUAAUCGCGGAUCAGCAUGCCGCGGUGAAUACGUUCCCGGGCCUUGUACACACCGCCCGUCACACCAUGAGAGUUUGUAACACCCAAAGUCGGUGGGGUAACCUUUUAGGAACCAGCCGCCUAAG